GCUACUCAAAACAUUCCUCUAAGGCUCUGAUAGUGUCUGUGCUUGUUUGUUCCCAGCCCUGCUCUUGUUUUCACUCACUCCAGGUAACCUGGCUCUGACUCCAGCUCUGACCUCAGGCUCUGACUCCAGCUCAUCAGACCCUCACCUCUGAUUCCUGACUUUGGUUCUGAUCCUUGGCUCUGGCAUCUGCCCCCAACCUCUGCUCUGAUCACUAGAGUAACUUUUGCUGCUUUGGAUCUAUCCAGCCCAAGGGGUCCAUAGCUCUGAGACAUGUACCCUGGUUGUCUAGCUGUUGAUCUAACCUGAAGAAAUGUGGACUCCCCCCUCAAACACACCCACCCACCCUCUGCUGAGUGGUUUUCCUGUGGACUGUUCCGCCCCACGAGGAUCUCUGUAGGAAGAAUGAAUGAAAGAUCACUCCAUGGUACUUAGCUACAGUAACAGCUUGUUCAGGUCUCUUGGAAUGCAAGCUGUUUAAAUUUAUUUUUCUACAGAGAAGAGGUAAACUACUCUGGCUCGACAGACAGGUUAUGGGCAUAGCUGAAACUGAAAAGCUCUCCAGAGAAGAGCCAUCAAGGAAGCUUAUUGCCGUGGCCCAACACAAGGCAUAGUCCUGCUGUCUUCAUUUAUGUAAGUAAUCAUUACUCGCAUGAGUAGCCCUAC